GAUGAACGCUGGCGGCGUGCUUAACACAUGCAAGUCGAACGGAAAGGCCCAAGCUUGCUUGGGUACUCGAGUGGCGAACGGGUGAGUAACACGUGGGUGAUCUGCCCUGCACUUCGGGAUAAGCCUGGGAAACUGGGUCUAAUACCGGAUAGGACCACAUUUUGGAUGGUGUGGUGGAAAGUUUUUCGGUGUGGGAUGAGCUCGCGGCCUAUCAGCUUGUUGGUGGGGUAAUGGCCUACCAAGGCGUCGACGGGUAGCCGGCCUGGGAGGGUGUACGGCCACAAUGGGACUGCGAGACGGCCCAGACUGCUACGGGAGGCAGCGGUGGGGAAUAUUGCGCAAUGGGCGCGAGCCGGAUGCAGCGACGCCGCGUGGGGGAUGACGGCCUUCGGGUUGUAAACUCCAUUCGCUAGGGACGAAGCGCAAGUGACGGUACCUGGAGAAGAAGCACCGGCUAACUACGUG
rnacentral:rRNA from 1 species